CAAAAUGGGCUGCUAAUCCCCAAGGCCAAGAUUAUGGUGCUAACAAAAGCUCUUCUCUUCAAUCCAACCUUCUCUUGCCCUUCUGAGCUACAUUCUUUGAAACCCACUUCACUUAUUCCUUCAAGACCGGUCUUAUUUUGUGGGAGUGAUUCCAAGGUUGGCGUGUCAAAGUCUACAACUGAGUUCGUCAAAAGGUCUGCGUUUAGGAGUGGCGAUGGUGAGAACAUUUUCAGAGUUUUUCAACGCGAAGCUUUUGUGAAGGACUUCAUUGAGUUUUGUCCUGGAUCCAUGGCUGAUGAAUUGGGAGCUACUCUCAAUCGUCUGUCCAAAUGGGUUGUAUCUUCCAUGUUCGCUGUUGUGCUUAUAUGGAGGCAUGAUGCUGCGUCUUUGUGGCUUGCUAUGGGAUCUGUUGUAAAUUUUAUCCUCUGUGUAAGACUCAAGCGGAUAUUCAACCAACAGAGACCUCUUUCUACAUUGAAAUCUGACCCAGGGAUGCCAUCUUCGCAUGCGCAAUCCAUUUUCUACAUUUCUAUGGUCUCCGUUCUGUCAAUUAUAGAAACAUUUGGAGCAAAUGAAAUUACGUUUAUCGUAGCUGCUCUUGCAUUGGCGUGCGGCUCAUAUCUUUCAUGGCUGCGGGUUUCACAACAAUUUCACACAACAAGCCAAGUGGUUGUUGGUGCUGCCGUUGGGUCAAUUUUCUCCAUUUUGUG
rnacentral:misc_RNA from 1 species